rnacentral:rRNA from 1 species
UACGGAGGGGGCUAGCGUUGUUCGGAAUUACUGGGCGCAAAGCGCACGUAGGCGGCUUUGCAAGUUAGAGGUGAAAGCCCGGGGCUCAACUCCGGAAUUGCCUUUAAAACUGCAUCGCUAGAAUUGUGGAGAGGUAAGUGGAAUUCCGAGUGUAGAGGUGAAAUUCGUAGAUAUUCGGAAGAACACCAGUGGCGAAGGCGACUUACUGGACACAUAUUGACGCUGAGGUGCGAAAGCGUGGGGAGCAAACAGG